rnacentral:hammerhead_ribozyme from 1 species
AUCCAGCUGACGAGUCCCAAAUAGGACGAGACGCGCAUUCUGAAU